GCCUAUGGGGCGCACACAGCGCUGACGGGACCCAUAGUGACCCAUAGGGACCCAUAGGGACACAUAGGGACACAUAGGGACACAUAGAGAGGCAUUGGGACACAUAGAGAGCCAUAGGGACACAUAGGGACCCAGAGGGACCCACAGAGAGGCAUUGGGACCCAUAGGGACACAUUGGGACCCAUAGGGACACAUAGGGACACAUAGGGACACAUAGAGAGCCAUAGAGAGCCAUAGAGAUCGGAUAGAGAGCCAUAGGGACACAUAGGGACCCAUAGGGACCCACAGAGAGGCAUUGGGACCCAUAGGGACACAUUGGGACCCAUAGGGACACAUAGGGACACAUAGGGACACAUAGGGACACAUAGGGACACAUAGCGACGCCUAUGGGGCACACAGCGCUGACGGGACCCAUAGCGACCCAUAGGGACCCACAGAGAGGCAUUGGGACCCAUAGGGACACAUAGGGACCCAUAGGGACACAUAGGGACACAUAGGGACCCCUAGAGAUCCCAUAGAGAGCCAUAGGGACACAUAGGGACACAUAGCGACGCCUAUGGGGCGCACACAGCGCUGACGGGACCCAUAGUGACCCAUAGCGACACAUAGGGACCUAUAGGGACACAUAGGGACCCAUAGGGACACAUAGAGAGCCAUAGGGACACAUAGAGAGCCAUAGGGACACAUAGGGACACAUAGAGAGCCAUAGGGACCCACAGAGAGGCACUGGGACCCAUAGGGACACAUAGAGACCCAUAGGGACACACAGGGACGCAUAGGGACCCACAGGGACCCAUAGGGACACAUAGGGACACAUAGGGACCCAUAGGGACCCAUAGGGACACAUUGGGACCAUAGGGACACAUAGGGCACAUAGGGGACACAUAGGGACCCAUAGGGACACAUAGAGAG
ensembl:lncRNA